rnacentral:rRNA from 1 species
UACGUAGGGGGCGAGCGUUGUCCGGAUUUAUUGGGCGUAAAGAGCUCGUAGGCGGCUUGGCAAGUCGGGUGUGAAACCUCCAGCUCAACCUGGAGACGCCACUCGAUACUGCUAUGCUAGAGUCCGGUAGGGGACCACGGAAUUCCUGGUGUAGCGGUGAAAUGCGCAGAUAUCAGGAGGAACACCGGUGGCGAAGGCGGAUCUCUGGGCCAUUACUGACGCUGAGGAGCGAAAGCGUGGGGAGCGAACAGG